AAUGUCUAAAGGUGGUAAAUAUUUAAGGCCGGUGUGAUUCACACGCCGGCGAGUGUGCAAAAAAGUUUUGACGGCGUCUCGGUUUAAAAUGUUUUAUCUUCUCCCCCCCGCGCCAGCGUUUGGAUUCUGUCAUCCGGGCGAAUUCCCCGAGUGGCUCGAAGUUUCAGGUUGAAAAAACACUUAGGCUGGCUGAUGUGACGAGUCACAACCUGUCAGGAUGAUUGUAAAAGUGACAAGUGAAGGCAGCACAAGAGGAUAAUUGUUUGUGUUUGGUUUGUCGUUGUUCUCUUUUGCCCUCAGGCUCCCCCUAAAGGAUCCGAGUGGAACCGCAUUUGAAGUCCGAACGCAAACAUCCAAAGAUGCUCAAAGAAGUCAAACUACGGAAGGUACGAAAGUCAUCAGGAGCGGGGAAGAGAAGCAGCACAACUUGACCUUCAAAAUCAAUAGGAUGCAGGAUGCAAGAUUGUUAUUAAUGAAGCGUGGCACUGAUGUAAAAAUAACUCGCUCACCAUCACGGUGAGUGGAACAGAUGGAGACGUGGACACCCAUGGCACAACAUGUCACAGGCCCAAGGAGAAACGCCAAGGAGACAGGAGGACUCGGUCUUAAAUGAGGAUCUGCCGCCCCCUGCUGGUCGGCGUACGGCGCCAGCACGGGGUCGAUGUCCCGGAUGUACUGCAUGACUUCCUCUACGCUCCAAAGGUUGGGGUCCUGACCGCUGGGCUUGGGGCUCUCCCGAAAACUGCCAGAGCCUGAAGGAGCACCGAAGUCAUUCAUCUGCUGAUUGUUCAGGCUUCCUCAUGCUCCAACGGUAUGGACCCAGCUCAAGAUUGGACAAUGACGUUUACCCUUUAAGAGCAGAGAAAACAUGGAAAAAGUCACAACAACAGUGCGAGACCACGAGAAGACUUCAUGGUAGGUGUAGCACAGGG